CAACAGGGAUUGCCCCAGUAACGGCGAGUGAAGCGGCAACAGCUCAAAUUUGAAAUCUGGCCUCCCGGCCCGAGUUGUAAUUUGCAGAGGAUGCUUCUGGCGCGGUGCCUUCCGAGUUCCCUGGAACGGGACGCCACAGAGGGUGAGAGCCCCGUAUGGUCGGACACCAAGCCUGUGUGAAGCUCCUUCGACGAGUCGAGUAGUUUGGGAAUGCUGCUCUAAAUGGGAGGUAAAUCUCUUCUAAAGCUAAAUACCGGCCAGAGACCGAUAGCGCACAAGUAGAGUGAUCGAAAGAUGAAAAGCACCUUGAAAAGGGGGUUAAAUAGUACGUGAAAUUGUUGAAAGGGAAGCGCUUGUGACCAGACUUGCGCCGUGCGGCUCAUCAGGGGUUCUCCCCUGUGUACUCCGCGCGGCUCGGGCCAGCAUCGGUUCUCGUGGGGGGAUAAGACCGGCGGGAACGUAGCACCCCCCGGGGUGUGUUAUAGGCCGCCGGACGAUGCCCUCGUGGGGACCGAGGUUCGCGCUCCGCAAGGAUGCUGGCGUAAUGGUCACCAGCGACCCGUCUUGAAACACGGACCAAGGAGUCGUCCAUUAGAGCGAGCGUUUGGGUGUAAAACCCGCACGCGUAAUGAAAGUGAACGCAGGUGAGAGCUUCGGCGCAUCAUCGACCGAUCCUGAUGUUCUCGGAAGGAUUUGAGUAAGAGUUUUAACGGACGGACCCGAAAGACAGUGAACUAUGCUUGUAUAGGGUGAAGCCAGAGGAAACUCUGGUGGAGGCUCGCAGCGGUUCUGACGUGCAAAUCGAUCGUCAAAUAUGAGCAUGGGGGCGAAAGACUAAUCGAAC
rnacentral:rRNA from 1 species